GGGAUUGCCUCAGUAACGGCGAGUGAAGCGGCAACAGCUCAAAUUUGAAAUCUGGCUUCCUUUGGGAGUCCGAGUUGUAAUUUGCAGAGGAUGUUUCGGGUACCGCUCCGGUUUAAAUUUCUUGGAACAGAAUGUCAGAGAGGGUGAGAAUCCCGUCUUGGACCGGCGGUAGGGCCCAUGUGAAACUCCCUCGACGAGUCGAGUUGUUUGGGAAUGCAGCUCAAAAUGGGUGGUAAAUUUCAUCUAAAGCUAAAUAUUGGCCAGAGACCGAUAGCGCACAAGUAGAGUGAUCGAAAGAUGAAAAGCACUUUGAAAAGAGAGUUAAACAGUAUGUGAAAUUGUUGAAAGGGAAGCGCUUGCGACCAGACUUGUACGCGGCGGUUCCCCCGUCCUUUUGGGCGGGCUAUUCCGUCGUGUUCAGGCCAACAUCGGUUCUGGGGGUUGGUUAAAGGCUUAGGGAAUGUAUCUACCCUUUGGGCGUAGACUUAUAGCCCUAGGUGUCAUACAACCUCCCGGGACCGAGGAACGCGCUUCGGCUCGGAUGUUGGCGUAAUGGUCGUAAGCGACCCGUCUUGAAACACGGACCAAGGAGUCUAACAUUUAUGCGAGUGUUUGGGUGUCAAACCCGGAACGCGGAAUGAAAGUGAACGGAGGUAGGAAGCUUUUAGCUGCACUAUCGACCGAUCCUGAUGUCUUCGGAUGGAUUUGAGUAAGAGCAUAACUGUUGGGACCCGAAAGAUGGUGAACUAUGCCUGAAUAGGGUGAAGCCAGAGGAAACUCUGGUGGAGGCUCGCAGCGGUUCUGACGUGCAAAUCGAUCGUCAAAUUUAGGUAUAGGGGCGAAAGACUAAUCGAACCAUCUGGUAGCUGGUUCCUGCCGA
rnacentral:rRNA from 1 species